UCGGGAAUAUUGGUCAAUGGGUGCGAGCCUGAACCAGCCAUGCCGCGUGCAGGAAGAAGGCCUUCUGGGUUGUAAACUGCUUUUACCAGGGGAUAAAAACGUUUUGCGAAACGGAUUGAAGGUACCUGGGGAAUAAGCCACGGCUAACUACGUG
rnacentral:rRNA from 1 species